rnacentral:rRNA from 1 species
CCAANGAUUUUAUUUAAUGGCCNCAGUAUUCUAACUGUGCAAAGGUAGCAUAAUCAUUUGUCUUUUAAUUGAAGGCUUGUAUGAAUGGUUUGACGAGAAGUAUACUUUCUUUAUUUUUAAAAAGGAAUUUAAUUUUUUAGUUAAAAAGCUCAAAUUUAUUUGAAGGACGAGAAGACCCUAUAGAGCUUUAUUAUAAUUAUUUUAUUUUAUUUUUGGUUAUUUAAAAUAAAAUAAUUUAUUUAUAAUUUCGUUGGGGUGAUGUGAAAAAUUAUAUAACUUUUCAUUAUACUCUCAUAAAUUAAUGUUUGAUUGAUCCAAUAUUAUUGAUUAUAAGAUUAAGCUACCUUAGGGAUAACAGCGUAAUUCUUUUGGAGAGUUCUUAUCGAUAAAAGAGUUUGCGACCUCGAUGUUGGAUUAAAAUAAGUAUUAGGUGUAGCCGCUUAAUAACUAGGUCUGUUCGACCUUUAAAAUUUUACA